AAAAAAAGCAUACAUGUAAUACAGUAAAAACACUAAAAAUAUAGAAUAAUAGAUAACUAUAUAAGAACUGUACGCACUACUUCCAAAGACUAAUCUAGUAAUCUGUGCUACUACUAUUCACCUGUGGGGUCAAGAUAAAUAACAUCAGACUGGCAGAAUCGAAGUUAAUCAAGGAGAAAUGCUCCAUCAUUGAAGGUGAAAAGCGAUAGAUUGGUUUUAAGGGCUAAUCAAUACCACCAUAGUAUAAUUUAUAUCCUAUGAUACCACAUAUAAAUAUGACAUAAAAUUA